GACGAACGCUGGCGGCGUGCUUAACACAUGCAAGUCGAACGAAGUGGCGAAAGGGUGAGUAACGCGUAAUCAAACUGCCCUUCAGAGGGGGACAACAGUUGGCAACGACUGCUAAUACCGCAUACUGAAGGAGGGGAUUGCGUCUGAUGAGAUAGUUGGAGGGGUAACGGCACACCAAGGAGAUGCUCAGUAGCCGGUCUGAUAGGAUGAACGGCCACAGUGGGACUUAGACACGGCCCAGAUUCCUCCGGGAUGCAGCAUUGGGGAAUCUUCCGCAAUGGACGAAAGUCUGACGGAGCAACGCCGCGUGAGUGAAGAAGGUUUUCGGAUCGUAAAGCUCUGUUGUAAGAGAAGCGGUAUCUGACCAGAAAGCCACGGCUAACUACGUGCCAACAGCCGCGGUAAUAC
rnacentral:rRNA from 1 species